rnacentral:rRNA from 1 species
AUUGAACGCUGGUGGCAGGCCUAACACAUGCAAGUCGAACGAGUGGCGAACGGGUGAGUAAUGUCUGGGAAAAUGCCUGAUGGAGGGGGAUAACUACUGGAAACGGUAUCUAAUACCGCAUACCCUCGGAGUUGCCCAGAUGGGAUUAGCUAGUAGGUGGGGUAAAGGCUAACCUAGGCGACGAGCCCUAGCUGGUCUGAGAGGAUGACCAGACACACUGGAACUGAGACAAGGUCCAGAAUCCUACGGGAGGCAGCAGUGGGGAAUAUUGCACAAUGGGCGCAAGCCGGAUGCAGCCCUGCCGCGUGGAUGAAGAAUGCCUUCGGGUUGUAAAGUACUUUCAGCGGGGAGGCGUUACCCGCAGAAGAAGCACCGGCUAACUCCGUGCCAGCAGCCGCGGUAAUAC